AUAAUUCUAAAAUAACACAUCAUUUUCAUUACACCAUAGGAUCUGAAAAUAACACAAACAACACAGGAUUUCAUCAACUUUGUCCCAGUAGUACCAACCAGUGCAACAUCAUCAAACCACACAUCCAACCCCAGGCCAAUAUCAAAGUUACCAGGUCCAACCCCAGGCCAUCAAAAUUACCAGGUCCAACCCAGGCCAACAUCAUCAAACCACACAUCCAACCCCAGGCCAACAUAAAGAAAUGCCAGGUCCAAACAGCGAAGCAUCAAAAUUACCUAGCAUCACUUGCCUCAGACCAACAUCAAACAGACCAUUCUAAGCUAUUUUACCUUCGAACAGAUCUAUGAGGCGAGCAAAUUUAGCAUCACUUGCUUUAGCCCUGGCAUCGGUAUCCUCAACUCUUUUCAACAACAACUGAUAUUCCGCGGCACGUGCAGCAUUAGCCUCCUCUGAUUUCUUCUUGG
rnacentral:lncRNA from 1 species